rnacentral:lncRNA from 1 species
CUGCCGCGGCCCUGAGCUCACCUGAGGCGGAGGCGCCCGCGACUCCCCGCCAGCUCCGCCAGUCUCCUCCAGCCCCGGCCCUCGGGCGCCUGAUCCAGGAGCUCGCUGAGCCUCCGCAGCAGCGGCUCCCGCAGGCGGUUGAGGGUCGCGCCGGCCGGAGGGGCGAGCAGCGGCCCCGUGGGGGCGGCCGAGGGCGGCAGGGCCUGUAGCGGGUCCCCCAACAGCGACAUGGCCCUCGCCGGCGACCCCGGACUGCCGGGGCUCCCGCCCGCCCCGUCACGGGCCUCGGCCCCGGGGCACCUUCCGCUCGCCUCCGAGCCGCGGAGGCAGGGGCGGAAGAACAAAUCUGGCAGCGCGGCACGGCCCUCAGAGGAGGAAGCUCCGCUCCCCGCCCCAAUUAGACAGGAAUCAUCUGGUUUACACCGCGUCAGACUGCCGCCCGCAAUCUCCGUCAUCAAAGCAGGCAACCCUGUAGAGGAUGCCUUUCCCUGGAAUGAUCCGGAAUGGACGACACCUGAGCUCUCUCUGCCAAUCUUAGCAACAUCCAAGGCCAUUAUCCCUUUGAAAACUAUGGCUUCGUUUGGGACAAAAAGGAAGUAACUUACGAAAUGUGACCAGUCAGGUAGUUCCCUACACGAGGCUUCCUGGCCCAAUUUCUGUUGCCAUUAGCUUUUCAUCACCCAAGGCCGCAGGAUUUUCUGACCAGUAAUUUGGAUACCUAUAUUCUUAUACAUGUUGGCGAGGUAGGUGCGCCAUACAGUCUCCACCACAUUCUAGCACAAGCAGUCAUUAAACUUCACUCUAGCAUAAGUUAAGAAUUCAGACUGCAGUGAGAUGGCUAAGAGCAUGAAAGAUCUGCUCGAUUCAAGUGUUAGGAGCUUGAAUAAGUUUCUUAAUUUCUCUGCCUCAUCUAUUAACACAGGACUGACAAUACAGUUUAUAUAGAGUUGUUGCCAGAAUUAAAGGAGUUGAUGUAUGUGAAGCACUUAACUCGGUAACUGGCACAUCGUAGAUGACUCAGUAAAUGCUAUUACCCUUACACAUACAAGUGCCGUUUCAUACUCAGUUUGACUUGGCAAGCCUUUCCCAACCGCUUCAGGUGCCUUCCUGUUUUGUCCUCAAUUACUGUACAAAUAUUUUCUGAGGAUCUGUUACCUGCAUGUGCCAAUUAUGGAAAUAAAAU